rnacentral:rRNA from 1 species
CGUAGGGGCAAGCGUUGUCCGGAAUUAUUGGGCGUAAAGCGCGCGCAGGCGGUCUCUUAAGUCUGAUGUGAAAGCCCACGGCUCAACCGUGGAGGGUCAUUGGAACCUGGGAGACUUGAGUGUAGGAGAGGAAAGUGGAAUUCCACGUGUAGCGGUGAAAUGCGUAGAGAUGUGGAGGAACACCAGUGGCGAAGGCGACUUUCUGGCCUAUAACUGACGCUGAGGCGCGAAAGCGUGGGGAGGCAAACAGGAUU